rnacentral:rRNA from 1 species
AUUGAACGCUGGCGGCAUGCCUUACACAUGCAAGUCGAACGGCAGCACGGACUUCGGUCUGGUGGCGAGUGGCGAACGGGUGAGUAAUGUAUCGGAACGUACCUUUCAGUGGGGGAUAACGUAGCGAAAGUUACGCUAAUACCGCAUAUUCUGUGAGCAGGAAAGCAGGUGAUCGAAAGACCUUGCGCUGGGUGAGCGACCGAUAUCAGAUUAGCUAGUUGGUGGGGUAAAGGCCUACCAAGGCGACGAUCUGUAGCGGGUCUGAGAGGAUGAUCCGCCACACUGGAACUGAGCCACGGUCCAGACUCCUACGAGAGGGAGCAGUGUGGAAUUUUGGACAAUGGGGGCAAACCUGAUCCAGCCAUGCCGAGUGAGUGAAGAAGGCCUUCGGGUUGUAAAGCUCUUUCGGCCGGGAAGAACUCGCAUAGGCUAAUACCCUGUGUGGAUGACGGUACCGGAAUAAGAAGCACCGGCUAACUACGUG